rnacentral:rRNA from 1 species
GCAGUCUGCAACUCGACUGCAUGAAGCUGGAAUCGCUAGUAAUCGCGAAUCAGAAUGUCGCGGUGAAUACGUUCCCGGGCCUUGUACACACCGCCCGUCACACCAUGGGAGUUGGAAGCACCCGAAGUCGGUGACCUGACCGAAAGGGAGGAGCCGCCGAAGGUGAAGCCAGCGACUGGGGUGAAGUCGUAACAAGGUAGC